UACGGGGGGGAGCAAGCGUUGUUCGGAUUUACUGGGCGUAAAGGGCGCGUAGGCGGCUUGCUAAGUCGGACGUGAAAUCCCUCAGCUUAACUCCGAAACUGCAUUCGAUACUGGCGUGCUUGAGGACUGGAGAGGAGACUGGAAUUUACGGUGUAGCGGUGAAAUGCGUAGAUAUCGUAAGGAAGACCAGUGGCGAAGGCGGGUCUCUGGACAGUUCCUGACGCUGAGGCACGAAGGCCAGGGGAGCAAACGGG
rnacentral:rRNA from 1 species